ACACUUUGGCAAAGUUGCAGUGGCCUGUUUGCUUAGGCACUGAAGUGGAUGACCCAAGUUAGGAUGACAACUUGCAGAGAACGCGGAUGAGACCUUCAGUUUGUGCCCACACUCAUUUGCAGCAACCCUAACAGAGAUUGCGAAGAUUUUCAAAGUGGGGCACCUCGAUUUCUCGAAUCUGUGGUGUGGCGAAUAUCCGUGUUCCUCCUGCUUAACUAGCCUGUUUGAAGGCACAGUUCAUUCUCGAGCAAUUCGUCACCUCCUGGGGGUCUUCUCUUCCCGUCUACAGGAGAGUGUGACUUCAGAAAGAACUUCGGAUUGGCCAAGGCAGGUCUGAUUCUAUUUAUUCUAAAGACAGAGUUGGAGAUGGGCUACCAUUGGUGUUGAUUGAGAUGACAAGCAGUCACCUGAGCCCAUACAGCUGGAUUGACAUAUGAGAAUCAGAGAAAUGAAUGAAAGAUUAGAGUGGGAGAAAGUGCUUGCUGCCAAGCUUGAUGACCUAAAUUGAAUACCUGGAACCUACACGACAGAAAGAGAGAGCUGACUGCUGAAAGAUGUCCUCAGAUCUUCACAUGUGCACAGUGGCACCUAUCCAACCAUGCACAUAGUAUAUUAAAAAUUAUUUUUUAAAAAAUCCA
rnacentral:lncRNA from 1 species